AUGAAAAGGCUGGAAUAGGAAGACCAAAGAGGUGGUUCCCUGGGGCAGAUACCAGGAAUGCUUAUGGUGGCCCCAUUUUAUGGGUCCUUGAAGGCAAAGGCAUUUAAAUAUUACCUGUUGCAGUAUGGGACCAACAGUAGUGUUGAGCAGAGUGGCAUCUAGGGAGGUCAAGUCACUCGUAGGUUAGGGAUGGAGGUGGGGGAUAGAGCAGGAUGCAGGCAGAGCUACUGCCAAGUUAAAAGAAAAGAUAAGGGUAAGACGGAUGAAAAUGAAGAGUGAUCACAAGAUACCCCACACAGGAAGACUUUGGGACUUGGUUUACUGAAGUAAUUAAGGCCCCUCACGACAAUUUGGAACCUGGCCCUCGUUGAACCUGUAGAUCAUCACUGCUGGCAUGACGGCCAUUGUUAACACUUGUGAAACGGGACACGAGCAUCCAGAACCUUCUGGAAAGGAUGUCCGCUGGAAGCAUUCACUGCUCUCUGCCAGCACUACAUCCCUUGGCAGUAGGAUUCUCUAACAACUGAGCUCAGCACCAUGGAGCCCAUCCAUCUCUGACAGUCUUCCAGCCACUGAUAGUCAAGUGUGUAGCCUGGCUGAGGACGGAUACAACGAGGGCAGUCAGCAACUUGCUGCAGCCCAUCUUGCCAGGUGGUUAACUUUUCAGAGCCACACUUCUCAUUCUAAAUUAGAUAAA